rnacentral:rRNA from 1 species
AGAAUUUUUUUUAAAAAUUUAAUCUGCCCAAUGAUUUUUUAAUGGCUGCGGUAAUUUGACUGUACAAAGGUAGCAUAAUAAUUAGUCUUUUAAUUGAAGUCUGGAAUGAACGAUUGGAUGAGAAAUUUACUUUCUUUAAAUUUUAUCUUUAUAAUUUAAUUUUUAAGUGAAAAAGCUUAAAUUAUUUUUUGGGACGAUAAGACCCUAUAGAUCUUUAUUUUUUUAUUUAUUUAUAAAUUUUUAGGUUUGUCUAAUUUAUUUUUGUUUAAGAUAUUUUUGUUGGGGUGAUAGUAAAAAUUUUUUUGUCUUUUAUUUAUUUAUUCAUUAAUAUAUGAUUUUUUUGAUCUUUAAUUUUGACUUAUAAGAUAAAGUUACCUUAGGGAUAACAGCGUAAUUUAUUUGUAGAGUUCUAAUCGAUAAAUAAGUUUGCGACCUCGAUGUUGGAUUAAGAUUAGGGGAGGGUGAAGAUUUUUUUUGUUCUAGGUCUGUUCGACCUUUAAAUUCUUACA